AAUGAAUGUGAAGAUCCCAACAGUAACCUGUGCGAAGGGAUCUAUACCAACACUCCUGGNAACUAUUUGAUUUAUACUGAUUUUUUAUUCGAUCAUCACAGAUAUCAAUGAAUGUGAAGAUCCCAACAGUAACCUGUGCGAGGGGAUCUGUACCAACACUCCUGGAAGUUACUCGUGUUCUUGCAAAGAUGGCUACGUUGUAGAUGAAUUUAGCAACGGUCGAGGUUGUCUUGCUCAAACUUCGGAGUUCCCAGUUAUCAAAUUCUCCCUAGGUAAUUAAUCAGUUGUAAUCUUAUCGUUUUUGUGUCCUUAAAUGGAUCAUCCAGUACCUCAGCUGAAUGAUCGAAUGAAGUCAAAUGAUUGGUUGAAAUUUGAAAACAUGAAAUAGUUUAU
rnacentral:lncRNA from 1 species